GACGAACGCUGGCGGCGUGCUUAACACAUGCAAGUCGAACGGAAAGGCCCUGCUUUUGUGGGGUGCUCGAGUGGCGAACGGGUGAGUAACACGUGAGUAACCUGCCCUUGACUUUGGGAUAACUUCAGGAAACUGGGGCUAAUACCGGAUAGGAGCUCCUGCUGCAUGGUGGGGGUUGGAAAGUUUCGGCGGUUGGGGAUGGACUCGCGGCUUAUCAGCUUGUUGGUGGGGUAGUGGCUUACCAAGGCUUUGACGGGUAGCCGGCCUGAGAGGGUGACCGGCCACAUUGGGACUGAGAUACGGCGCAGACUCCUACGGGAGGCAGCAGUGGGGAAUAUUGCACAAUGGGCGGAAGCGUGAUGCAGCAACGCCGCGUGCGGGAUGACGGCCUUCGGGUUGUGAACCGCUUUCGCCUGUGACGAAGCGUGAGUGACGGUAAUGGGUAAAGAAGCACCGGCUAACUACGUG
rnacentral:rRNA from 1 species